AACAUGAGCUUUAAUGUUGAACAUAAAUGCAAGCAAGGUUAUCAGGAUCUCAACAUUUAUUACCUAUACUGAUCAUUUUUCUACGGUUAAUUUUAUGUCAAAUUGGCUAGGCCACUACUGUGAUCUUAAUCCUGAAUAACUCCGGAGUCCAUGUGUUAAAGACUUGCUUCCCACAUUUGUGCUAUUGGGAGGAGGCGUGAGAUAGUGGAAUGUGUUACCGAAGUUGACUGUGAGACUCUGGCCUCUUUUUUUCCCUUUGUUUUCUGGAUAUGAUGUGAGUGCUUUUUUCUGCCUCAUGCUUCUGUUGCGAUGUGCUGCCUCCCCUCAGGACGGAAACAACACAGCCAGAUGACCCUGGACUGGAAGCUCCCAAACUAAUCCAUGAGCUGAGUAUCUGUGCUAUACCAUAUCCUUCCACCAUGAUGUUCUGCCUUACCUUAGGCCCACAGCAAUGAAGUCAGCCAACCAUUUACUGAAACCUCCAAAACUGUACAGCUUGCCUGCAGGUGUUAGACUAUCCAUAGUGAUAACCACAGACUCCUAGCUGCUGCCCACUGAGGGAUGACAGGCUUCCGGCUGUGGAGGGGGCCUCCAGAGCAGCUGGACCUGGGCCGGAGGCCGUGCUGACUCUCAUCACAAUCUCGUGAUCAUGACAUGAAACAUCUUUCCUGGUGCCAAAACACUUCCAAGGUUAGGCAAGAAAAGAGGUGGUACCCUACUGUGGAGACCUCCCUUCUUGGUGAAAACUUCUGAAGACACUGCGUACGCCAGAACCCUGACGCGCUGGAUUCCCAGGGAUCCUCACAGAAGCAGAGUCGCCCAAGAUGUCCCCCAAGAACCUCACGUGAUCACAAGCCGGGCUUUUGGAAGGUGAUGGAGUCAUGGCAGCGAUAUGGCUGACCUGCUGUUCAGAGGCAAGUUCUGUCUGAAGAAGCAGGUCACUGAGGGGACAUGUCACCUUCCCUGGCUCCUCUCAUCAUGCUCUGCUUCCUGGCUUCCAGGAUGCUUAUCAACAUCACGGUCUCAUCUAAAGGAGUGAGUGAAGAGUUGAAUGAAAAACACAAAAUGUUGAUGAAAUCUUUCCUGACUUUAUAAGAAUUCUUCUGUACAAGGAAUCAAGUAUACCAGAUUCAACAAAAAACGAUUCCUUACUUAAUAAAAAUGGUCCCAGGACACAAUCUCUUGAAUAUCUCUUAAGGUACUUCUUGCUGUUACUUUCUCCUCAACCACUUGACCUCCAAAUACUUGAU